rnacentral:tRNA from 1 species
GCCGCCGUAGCUCAGCCGGUAGAGCGACCGCCUUGUAAGCGGUAGGUCGUGGGUUCGAUCCCCACCGGCGGCU